GACGAACGCUGGCGGCGUGCUUAACACAUGCAAGUCGAACGGAAAGGCCCUGCUUUUGUGGGGUGCUCGAUUGGCGAACGGGUGAGUAACACGUGAGUAACCUGUACUUUACUUUGGGAUAACUUCAGGAAACUGGGGCUAAUACCGGAGAGGAGCUCCUGCUGCAUGGUGUGGGUUGGAAAGUUUCGGCGUUUGGGGAUGGACUCGCGGCUUAUCAGCUUGUUGGUGGGGUAGUGGCGUACCAAGGCUUUGACGGAUAGCCGGCCUGUGAGGGUGGCCGGCCACAUUGGGACUGAGAGACGGCACAGACUCCUACGGGAGGCAGCAGGGGGGAAUAUUGCACAAUGGGGGGAAGCCUGAUGCAGCAACGCCGCGUGCGGGAAGACGUCCUUCGGGUUGUGAACCGCUUUCGCCUGUGACGAAGCGUGAGUGACGGUAAUGGGUAAAGAAGCACCGGCUAACUACGUG
rnacentral:rRNA from 1 species